AUUGAACGCUGGCGGCAGGCCUAACACAUGCAAGUCGAGCGAGCGGCGGACGGGUGAGUAAUGUCUGGGAAACUGCCUGAUGGAGGGGGAUAACUACUGGAAACGGUAGCUAAUACCGCAUACCAUCAGAUGUGCCCAGAUGGGAUUCGCUAGUAGGUGGGGUAACGGCUCACCUAGGCGACGAUCCCUAGCUGGUCUGAGAGGAUGACCAACCAAACUGGAACUGAGACACGGUCCAGACUCCGACGGGAGGCAGGAGUGGGGAAUAUGGCACAAUGGGCGCAAGCCGGAUGGAGUCAGGCCGCGUGUGUGAAGAAGGCCUUCGGGUUGUAAAGCACUUGCAGCGGGGAGGCGUUACCCGCAGAAGAAGCACCGGCUAACUCGGUGCCAGCAGCCGCGGUAAUAC
rnacentral:rRNA from 1 species